rnacentral:rRNA from 1 species
UACGGUAGGGUGCGAGCGUUUGUCCGGAAUUAUUGGGCGUAAAGAGCUCGUAGGCGGUGUGUCACGGUCGAAUCGUGAAAACUUUCAGCUUAACUGGGAGCUUGCGGUCGAUACGGGCAUCACUGGAGUUCGGCAGGGGAGACUGGAAUUCAAGGUGUAGCGGUGAAAUGGCGCAGAUAUCUUGAGGAACACCGGUGGCGAAGGCGGGUCUCUGGGCCGAUACUGACGCUGAGGAGCGAAAGCGUGGGGAGCGAACAGG